UGCGUAGGUGGUUGUUUAAGUCUGUUGUGAAAGCCCUGGGCUCAACCUGGGAAUUGCAGUGGAUACUGGGCGACUAGAGUGUGGUAGAGGGUAGUGGAAUUCCCGGUGUAGCAGUGAAAUGCGUAGAGAUCGGGAGGAACAUCCAUGGCGAAGGCAGCUACCUGGACCAACACUGACACUGAGGCACGAAAGCGUGGGGAGCAAACAGGAUUAGAUACCCUGGUAGUCCACGCCCUAAACGAUGCGAACUGGAUGUUGGGUGCAAUUUGGCACGCAGUAUCGAAGCUAACGCGUUAAGUUCGCCGCCUGGGGAGUACGGUCGCAAGACUGAA
rnacentral:rRNA from 1 species